GUCCGGCUGGCGCAAUGGUAGCGCGUAAGUUCACACCUUUGAAGUCUACUUGAUGUUUGAACAAUCAAGUUAACCCCUUAUUAUAGGCCAGACUUCUAUCCUGUGAACAACUUGCACCUGUUCGACAAAACUGAAAUCUGGAGGUUGUGGGUUCGAGUCCCACGUCGGAUG